GCUAGUAGUGUCCAGAGAUAGGACUUGCCCUGAGGAAACCUAUCACGUCCUCUAACUUUCUAGUAUUUUAGUAAUGUGAUUUUAAGAUGGAGGUCUUUUGAAAACCGAGGAUGCUCCUGUAAGAAGAUUUAUUUCAACCAGAUAACUGUCUUAGAUUAAUUCCAAAUUGCUACAUAAUGCCACUACUAACUAAGGUCUUAGAUGGAUAAACCUGUGAUUUCACUUACUAAUCUGGAAGCUUCUGAAGAUAAACAUCAAUAUUUAUGAAGUCGUACUGUAUUCGCAUAAGUCUCUAUUUUCAGAGACUGUCAUCACCAGAGCUUAUGAAAAAAUGGCCCUCAUACCAUGUAAAGGUGCCAGCAAAGUGAAGCAGAAGGCUGGACCAGCCAUUCUUCUUUGGGGCGGAAGCUGAAACGAUCAAGAAGGACCCUUGACAUUAUCUUGAAAAAAGAAAUAAGCUUUUAUCUAAGGUCAGGAGUAAUGAGAGUUGUGUUAUUUUGUAACUAGUUUGAAUAUCUUCCAGGAGUUGGUUAGAUAAAAAUGGUGUAAUUCUGAAAUCAUAGCAGAGAAAGCCCAAAUAACAAAUUAUAAUAAUGACAACUUUUGUAGGCAAAGCCUUUCAUUUUAGCUGUUCAAAAUGCACAAUAGGGCAAAGUAGCUAGUGUAAAUACGUUUUGUUUUUUCUUUGAAACAAUGCCGUGUGUCACUUUAGCUUCAUUUGUUCAAGUAAGUAGGAAUAUAGUGAUAUAAAACCAGAUGGUGUUUGCUGAUUUUGAGUGACAGAUGUUGUCUUAUCCUUGAGGUUAUGCAGUUAAGUGUAAUGCGUUUAUAGCUGAGCUAUGCAAAAUACUGAGCACCCUCAGCCCCUAUUAACUUCCAGGGCAGCUGGAAGGUCUCAGUACCUCCCAGGAGGGGCAUUUAGGAGUCAGAGACCUUAUUAGCUGAACUCUUCACCUAAACAUUUUCUUUUUGAGAUGUCCUGAUCAUCAAUUCACUUGAAGGCAGUGUUCAGAAUCUUUAGGAUCACUCUCCAGUGACCCUCUUUAGGCCUAAAAUCAAAGACCUUUCCCUCUUUUCAGAAAACUGAUCACAUGCCAAGAACCGUGUCUAAAAUGGUCACUUGAUUGAUGCGAUUAUGUGAAUGCAGUAAUACAAAUACAUGAUAAUCUUAUUGAAACAUAAAUAGAUACAUUGCUCAGAGGUAAUGAAGAGAGAGAAGGUAGUCUUAGUGCUUAGUAGAAAACACUCAAUGUUCUGGUUUAGCAAGGAGCAGCUUUUGGCUUAGUAACAGGGGGAACGACUUGCAGUGAAGACCCGGUAAAGGGUUUGUGGACUCUCCCCCAGCUCCUGGGUUCACAUCCACCUCCAGCCCGGCUGGGCCAAUCUGGCGCCUCUGUGAUCACUGUUUAGGGGACGGGAAUUUGAAGUGCUGGCAGGAGGUGUAAGAGUGAUACAAGAUGGAGGCGACCACGCGGACCCUUCAGCCAGAGAAGGAGGAAGGAAGGAGAAGCAGUAGACCAGAGAUCCCUCUGCAAGUCGUGGCGAGAAUACAAGCUGUGCCCCUGCAACCUAUGGAGAUCCGUGGCAGGACCGUGAGUUACCAGCAGCUCCAUGUGAGUGAGCCCGGACAGACGAGGGACUGUGUGGGGAGACGGCCAUGGCCCAGGCCGUGCUGGAGAGCCUGCACGCCGCAGAGCAGCCCCACACGAGAGGCAGAGAGGAGCUGCAGCCUUUGGAAUAAGUGCGCGUUGGAGCAGCCCGUGCAGGGCUGCCAUGCAUGUGAGUUACCCCACGGACUUGCAGGGAGGACUGGUGUGGAGUUCACCCGUCCUGAGGAGGGACAAACGGCAGAAGCUAUCGGGAACAGACUAACUGACCCCUUCCCCCCCACCCCCAAACUGUUCAAGGGGGGAAGAGGUAAAAACCCCGGGAUCAGGGCUCUGAGCCCGGGAAGAGGGGAGGUGUGGCAAGAAGGUGUUCUUAAGAAGGCUGGUCGGGCUCUUCAUUGUUGUAUUACUCUGUGUUGUUUUAUCUUGGUUAUGUUUUGGGUU